rnacentral:rRNA from 1 species
AGCGAACGCUGGCGGCAGGCUUAACACAUGCAAGUCGAACGAGAGGAAGGAAAGCUUGCUUUUCUGAAUCUAGUGGCGAACGGGUGAGUAACACGUAGGUAACCUGCCCAUGUGCCCGGGAUAACUUCUGGAAACGGAUGCUAAAACCGGAUAGGUAGCAGACAAGCAUUUGACUGCUAUUAAAGUGGCUAAGGCCAUGAACAUGGAUGGACCUGCGGUGCAUUAGCUAGUUGGUGAGGUAACGGCCCACCAAGGCGACGAUGCAUAGCCGGCAUGAGAGGGCGGACGGCCACAUUGGGACUGAGACACGGCCCAAACUCCUACGGGAGGCAGCAGUAGGGAAUUUUCGUCAAUGGGGGGAACCCUGAACGAGCAAUGCCGCGUGAGUGAGGAAGGUCUUCGGAUCGUAAAGCUCUGUUGUAAGAGAAAAACGACAUUCAUAGGGAAUGAUGAGUGAGUGAUGGUAUCUUACCAGAAAGUCACGGCUAACUACGUGCCAGCCGCCGCUGUAA